rnacentral:rRNA from 1 species
ACUCAAAGGAAUUGACGGGGACCCGCACAAGCGGUGGAGCAUGUGGUUUAAUUCGAGGCAACGCGAAGAACCUUACCAGGCCUUGACAUGUCCAGUAUGGGGUGCAGAGACGCACUCCUUCAGUUUGGCUGGCUGGAACACAGGUGCUGCAUGGCUGUCGUCAGCUCGUGUCGUGAGAUGUUGGGUUAAGUCCCGCAACGAGCGCAACCCUCGUCCUUAGUUGCCAUCAUUAAGUUGGGAACUCUAAGGAAACUGCCGGCGUUAAGCCGGAGGAAGGUGGGGACGACGUCAAGUCAUCAUGGCCCUUACGGCCUGGGCUACACACGUGCUACAAUGGCGGUGACAAUGGGUUGCAAACUCGCAAGAGUGAGCUAAUCCUUAAAAACCGUCUCAGUUCGGAUUGUCCUCUGCAACUCGAGGGCAUGAAGUUGGAAUCGCUAGUAAUCGUGGAUCAGCAUGCCACGGUGAAUACGUUCCCGGGUCUUGUACACACCGCCCGU